AGAAUAUUAAAACCAGCGGUCAACUUGAAAACGGUAAUGGACUUGUCAAAUGCCUGGAAACGACCAGAACUCUCCGUCACCUUAUUUUCGUAUUUUGAAAUGCAAAGUUCCAGGUGUGAGGAGAGCAAACGUUUGGGGUUGCUUCAAACCGGAGCGGCAUCAGCUACACCCAAAUGCUGGAUUGAGUCUGCAAGAAGACAAGGAAGCAAAAGUGUUGGUGUCUCGAUGGUGACGACGAAGAGGCCGGCCGGAGAAAACAAGGCCAAGGAAGGCGGGCGAGAGAUUGCAGCUGGGAAACUGGGGCAGGAAAAAAAAGGUAAGAAAGAAAUGGACGUUUGGGCAGAGAAGCGAUGGAAGGAUGGGAUGAAAAGAUGCGGAGGUAAAGAGGACAAAUGACUGGAGGCGGAGCUUUUGUCCCUCGUGUCUUUGUGUCUCAAUGACUGCCGCUACUUUUAUGCUCCUGCCUUUUUUUUCAAUUCGAGUUCAAGCCCGCUAACGCAUCGAGCAAGAAAUAGGCCCUUGAUAAUAAUAUCAUAUAAAGUAAAAAAUAAUAACAAUAAUAAUAAAAUAAUAUAAUUUAUGAUCAUUUAAAAUGGCAAUGUUAAUGAGCAAAAAAAAAUAAAUAA